rnacentral:lncRNA from 1 species
UGGCAAGCCUUGACAUAAAUUUUGGUAGCACUUCACGAGCAAUCCAGAAGCCAGUGACUUUUUUGAAAAGCUUAUUGAAGAUCAUAUGCCAGGUAGAAGUUACAAGCCAAUGAGGAAGUAUUCCACUAAAUAGUUCCUCUUCCUCCUGUUUUGUACCCUUGUAUAUAUCCUUUCUUUGAGUCUUUGUACAAUCUCAUCCUUGUAUGUGUUCUUGAGUCCUGUACAUAAGUGUACUUUUAGAGUCCUCUAGUCGGAGAGAAGCAAGCUCCCACAAGCUAUCUCCCACCUGUGUAAAUACUGUUUAUCCUUUUCUUUCUUCAUCUUGUAAGUUCUUUAUGUUCAUAUGUUUCCAUAUGUACAUAUCCAUGCAUAAAUUUGUUUUAAUGA